rnacentral:miRNA from 1 species
AGAGAGUACGUCGAAUGAAGAGA